CCCCCCCCUUUUUUCCCCAAAAAUUUUUUUUUUUUCCUUUUCAAAAAAAAACCCCGGGAAAAAAAAAUUUUGGGGGGGAAAAAAAUUUUUUAAAAAAAUUUUUUUUUAAAAUUUU